GGCCUGAUGGUGUACUGGUAACACAUCCCUUUCAAUUACGGUAGAUAUGCACAAUUUGAAUUCGUGGGAAGUCCCUUGUUCGAAUCAAGGUCAGGCCG